AGUGAACGCUGGCGGUAGGCCUAACACAUGCGAGUCGAACGGCAGCACAGUAAGAGCUUGCUCUUACGGGUGGCGAGUGGCGGACGGGUGAGGAAUACAUCGGAAUCUACUUUUUCGUGGGGGAUAACGUAGGGAAACUUACGCUAAUACCGCAUACGACCUACGGGUGAAAGCAGGGGAUCUUCGGACCUUGCGCGAUUGAAUGAGCCGAUGUCGGAUUAGCUAGUUGGCGGGGUAAAGGCCCACCAAGGCGACGAUCCGUAGCUGGUCUGAGAGGAUGAUCAGCCACACUGGAACUGAGACACGGUCCAGACUCCUACGGGAGGCAGCAGUGGGGAAUAUUGGACAAUGGGCGCAAGCCUGAUCCAGCCAUACCGCGUGGGUGAAGAAGGCCUUCGGGUUGUAAAGCCCUUUUGUUGGGAAAGAAAAGCAGCAGGUUAAUACCCCGCUGUUCGGACGGUACCCAAAGAAUAAGCACCGGCUAACUUAGU
rnacentral:rRNA from 1 species